UCUGGUUCAGGACGAACGCUGGCGGCGUGCCUAAUACAUGCAAGUCGAGCGAAUGACAAGGAGCUUGCUCCUUGAUUAGCGGCGGACGGGUGAGUAACACGUGGGUAACCUACCCUAUAGACUGGGAUAACUUCGGGAAACCGGAGCUAAUACCGGAUAAUACUUUCGAACACAUGUUCGAAAGUUGAAAGAUGGUUUCGGCUAUCACUAUAGGAUGGACCCGCGGCGCAUUAGCUAGUUGGUGGGGUAACGGCUCACCAAGGCAACGAUGCGUAGCCGACCUGAGAGGGUGAUCGGCCACACUGGGACUGAGACACGGCCCAGACUCCUACGGGAGGCAGCAGUAGGGAAUCUUCCACAAUGGACGAAAGUCUGAUGGAGCAACGCCGCGUGAGUGAAGAAGGAUUUCGGUUCGUAAAACUCUGUUGCAAGGGAAGAACAAGUAGCGUAGUAACUGGCGCUACCUUGACGGUACCUUGUUAGAAAGCCACGGCUAACUACGUGCCAGCCGCUGC
rnacentral:rRNA from 1 species